rnacentral:rRNA from 1 species
GCCUACGGGACGCAGCAGUGGGGGAUAUUGCACAAUGGGGGGAACCCUGAUGCAGCGACGCCGCGUGGGCGAUGGAGCGCCUCGGCGCGUAAAGCCCUAUCAGCAGGGAAGAAGAUGACGGUACCUGACUAAGAAGCCCCGGCUAAAUACGUGCCAGCAGCCGCGGUAAUACGUAUGGGGCAAGCGUUAUCCGGAUUUACUGGGUGUAAAGGGAGCGCAGGCGGCCUGGCAAGCCUGAUGUGAAAUACCGGGGCCCAACCCCGGGGCUGCAUUGGGAACUGCCAGGCUGGAGUGCCGGAGAGGCG